rnacentral:rRNA from 1 species
UGCCAGCCGCCGCGGUAAUACGGAGGGUGCAAGCGUUAAUCGGAAUUACUGGGCGUAAAGCGCGCGUAGGUGGUCUGUUAAGUUGAUGGUGAAAUCCCAAGGCUUAACCUUGGAACUGCCAUCAAAACUUUUUAGCUAGAGUGUGAUAGAGGUAAGUGGAAUUUCUAGUGUAGAGGUGAAAUUCGUAGAUAUUAGAAAGAACACCAAAUGCGAAGGCAACUUACUGGGUCACUACUGACACUGAGGAGCGAAAGCAUGAGUAGCGAAGAGGAUUAGAUA